rnacentral:rRNA from 1 species
GACGAACGCUGGCGGCGUGCUUAACACAUGCAAGUCGAACGGAAAGGCCCUGCUUUUGUGGGGUGCUCGAGUGGCGAACGGGUGAGUAACACGUGAGUAACCUGCCCCUGACUUUGGGAUAACUUCAGGAAACUGGGGCUAAUACCGCAUAGGAGCUCCUGCUGCAUGGUGGGGGUUGGAAAGUUUCGGCGGUUGGGGAUGGACUCGCGGCUUAUCAGCUUGUUGGUGGGGUAGUGGCUUACCAAGGCUUUGACGGGUAGCCGGCCUGAGAGGGUGACCGGCCACAUUGGGACUGAGAUACGGCCCAGACUCCUACGGGAGGCAGCAGUGGGGAAUAUUGCACAAUGGGCGGAAGCCUGAUGCAGCAACGCCGCGUGCGGGAUGACGGCCUUCGGGUUGUAAACCGCUUUCGCCUGUGACGAAGCGUGAGUGACGGUAAUGGGUAAAGAAGCACCGGCUAACUACGUG